rnacentral:rRNA from 1 species
AGAGUUUGAUCCUGGCUCAGAGUAAACGCUGGCGGCGUGCUUAACACAUGCAAGUCGAACGGGAAUCAGUUUAGUGAGUAGCUUGCUACGAUCUGUUCUGAUUCUAGUGGCAAACGGGUGAAUAAUACUUGGAUAAUCUGCCCCCAAGAGGGAAAUAACCCCGGGAAACUGGGCCUAAUGUCCCAUAAUGUUCCAUAUCGCAUGAUUUGGAAUUAAAGGAUGCCUUCGGGUAUCGCUUGAGGAUGAGUCCAUGGCCUAUUAGCUUGUUGGUGGGGUAAAAGCUCACCAAGGCAAUGAUGGGUAGCUGACCUGAAAGGGUGAUCAGCCACACUGGCACUGAGACACGGGCCAGACUCCUACGGGAGGCAGCAGUGGGGAAUUUUGGACAAUGGGCGAAAGCCUGAUCCAGCAACGCCGCGUGAGGGAUGAAGGUUCUCGGAUUGUAAACCUCUUUUAGGGGGGAUGAGCCCUUGAGCAAUCAAGGGGGACAGUACUCCCAGAAUAAGCCACGGCUAACUACGUGCCAGCAGCCGCGGUAAUACGUAGGUGGCGAGCGUUACUCGGAAUUACUAGGUGUAAAGGGCAGGUAGGCGGUGUGAUAAGUUGAGGGUGAAAGCUCUGAUAAAAUCAGAGAGGUCUCUCAAUACUGUCAUGCUUGAGUGUGGUAUGGGGAACCGGAAUUCCUGGUGUAGCGGUGAAAUGCGUAGAUAUCAGGAGGAACACCGAUGGCGAAAGCGGGUUCCUGGGCCACUACUGACGCUGAGCUGCGAAAGCGUGGGGAGCAAACAGGAUUAGAUACCCUGGUAGUCCACGCUGUAAACGAUGAAAACUUGAUAUAGGAGGUAUCGACCCCUUCUGUGUCGAAGCUAACGCGUUAAGUUUUCCACCUGGGGACUACGGCCGCAAGGUUGAAACUCAAAGGAAUUGACGGGGGCCCGCACAAGCAGUGGAGCAUGUGGUUUAAUUCGACACAACGCGAAGAACCUUACCUGGGCUUGAAGUGCUGGUUGUACCCUCUCGAAAGAAUAGGGGACCCGCAAGGGAGCCAGUAGAGGUGCUGCAUGGUUGUCGUCAGCUCGUGUCGUGAGAUGUAUGGUUAGGUCCCAUAACGAGCGCAACCCUUGUCUCAUGUUGCCAUCUCCGGUUCGCCGGAAGGCACUCUUGAGAGACCGCCUCCGUUGAGGGGGAGGAAGAUGAGGAUGACGUCAAAUCAUCAUGGCCUUUAUGUCCAGGGCUACACGCGUGCUACAAUGGUCACUACAACGGGAAGCCAACCCGCAAGGGGGAGCAAAUCCCUAAAAAGUGGCCCCAGUUCAGAUUGAGGGCUGCAAUUCGCCCUCAUGAAGGAGGAAUUGCUAGUAAUCGCUGAUCAGCAGGCAGCGGUGAAUACGUUCCCGGGCCUUGUACACACCGCCCGUCACACCAUGGAAGCUGGCUGUAACAGAAUCUUGGAGUUUUUCGAGAGAAGUUAUGGUUAGUGACUGGGGUGAAGUCGUAACAAGGUAGACGUACGAGAACGUGC